UCUAUUUUUUCAUCGAGUCGGCUUGGAGGGUUGUUUAUUAUCCCUCAAAGAUUUUAUAAUUAUGAGUUGCGGCUUGAGUUUUAUGUACAGAAGGCAUGGCAGCUUCGAUCGGUUUCUACAGUAGCAUACCUCUUCAGUCAGCUCUCUUUGCAGUACCAAUUUUGGAAAACUUGGACUCUCAUAAGCCUCAGGCUGUAUGGUUGGGCUCUUUUCAUAGCAGGUUCGUG